rnacentral:rRNA from 1 species
CAAAGGAAUUGACGGGACCCGCACAAGCAGCGGAGCGUGUGGUUUAAUCGAGGCUACACGAAGAACCUUACCAGGGUUUGACAUGCAAGUGGUAGGAAUCCGAAAGGUGACCGACCCUUCGGGGAGCUUGCACAGGUGCUGCACGGCUGUCGUCAGCUCGUGUCGUGAGAUGUUCGGUUAAGUCCGCUAACGAGCGCAACCCUCGUCGUGUGUUAUACGUGUCACACGAUACUGCCGGUAUCAAGCCGGAGGAAGGUGGGGAUGAUGUCAAGUCAGCAUGGCCUUUAUAUCCUGGGCUACACACACGCUACAAUGGCAGAUACAAUAGGUUGCGAAACCGCGAGGUGGAGCCAAUCCUCAAAGUCUGUCUCAGUUCAGAUUGUAGGCUGCAACUCGCCUGCAUGAAGUUGGAGUUGCUAGUAACCGCGCGUCAGCUAUAGUCGCGGUUCCGAAUACGUUCCGGCCUU